CAGGACUUGACCUAAGGGGAAAGCAGACUGCUGUGGCAGGGGAAAGGGUGACCCCCACUGCCCAGAAUAAAAAGGACCAUUCACAAGGUGGCCUCUGAGGGUAAAUGGCUGAAGCCCUCUCCUGUCAUAGGCAAACUGGCUAUAGCCAGUUUGGGCAGAGAAAGUCAAAGCAUGCUGAACAGUUGAUGAGCAGCGUGGGAGAAUGUUUCCCCAAAUGACUGUAGGCUGCACUACCACCUCACUGUAAGGUUGCAGGUGGGACCUUGCUGCCUGGUCCUCAGAGAAGACUGGACUCUGGACAGGCCUCACAGCACUCACCUUCCUAGGGAUGGCCUGGCACAUCCCCUUGAGUUACCUGGCACCUUUGAGGUGGUGGGGUUGAUUCCCACUGUCAGGAGGAAGUGGUAUGGUUACAGAAUGUCAGACUCGUUCUUGGAGUGGCAGAGGGGAUAAAGCCACCUGGCUGCUCCUGCCACUUUUCUCUAGGGGAAAAACAAAAGGGGUGGAAGCCCAAGGACCUGAGCCAGUGAGGCAGCAUUUGGGGCUGUAUGGUGCCUGCUGAGGCACUGCUGGCUGAGGAGGCAGACACAGUUUGAGAAGAUCCUCUGGGAAAUAUGGACUGCCUUAUGGUCUGAAUGCUGUGAUCCCCUCUACCCCAAUUCAUAAGUUGAAAUUCUAACCCCCAAAGUGAUGGUAUCAGGAGGUAGGGCCUUUGGGAAGUGAUUAGGUCACGAGGGGAGAUCCCUCUUGACUGGGAUUAUAAAAGACCUUGGAGAGCUAGCUAGUCCCUUCCACCAUGUGAGGGCACAACUAGAAGGCAUCAUCUAGGAAAUGACAGAAAGCGGGUCCUCACCAGACACCGAAUCUGCCAGGGCCUUGAUCUUGGACAGCCCAGCCUCCACAACUGUGGGAAAUAAAUGUCUGUUGUUUAUAAGCUACCCAGUCUAAGGUAUUUUGUUAUAGCAGCCUGAAUGGACUAAGACAGAUUUCAUAUUAGUUUCCUAGGUUUGCCGUAAUAAUGUGCCACCAAAUAACAGAAAUUUAUUAUCUCACACUUCUGGAAGUUAGGAGUCCAGAUUCAAGGUGUCAGCAGGGUCAUGCUUCUUCUGAGGACUUCAGAGGAGGAUCCUCCCAGCAUCUGGUGGCCCCAGGCAUUCCUUGGCUUGUGGCUGCAUCACUCCAGUCUCCGCCACCAUCUUCACAUGGCCUUCUUCCCUGUGUGUCUCCUCCUCUUGUAAGGACACCAGCCAUUGGACUUAAGGAUCACCCUAGAAAUCCAUUAUGAUUUUGUCUUAAGUUACUUAACUAACUGUGUCUGCAAAGACCCUAUUUCUAAAUAAGGUCGCAUCGUGAAUUUUGGGGUAGACAUGAAUUUUUGGGAGGCCUCCACUCAACCCACUACAGACUGAGUGGCAGAGAGAGGUCAAGGAUCAUGAAGUAGUGUUCUCCUGGUGGGGGUUAUUGUAAUGGGUGUAGCUAGUGAUUCCCUCCAGCUAUUUCCUCAGAUGACAGAGGAUGCUGGGGUGGAGGGGCUGGGCUCACCAAAGGGACCUGGAGCCCAGGGUUCCCAGCAAGGACUGCUGAUCCCAUGACAUCAUCAUCUUAGAAGGGCAGCAACAUCUGUGAGCAGCUGAAGGCUCCAAGAACACACUUUUUUUUUUUUUUUUGAAAGCGCAUUCUACUGACAGAAGCCUCACUAGGAAAACUCAAGAUGCUGUCUUUCAG
rnacentral:lncRNA from 1 species